GAGUUCUGAUUAUUGAAAGGUGCUUGCAUCUUGAUUUAAUUUUGAACGAGUGGCGGACGGGUGAGUAACACGUGGGUAACCUGCCCUUAAGUGGGGGAUAACAUUUGGAAACAGAUGCUAAUACCGCAUAAAUCCAAGAACCGCAUGGUUCUUGGCUGAAAGAUGGCGUAAGCUAUCGCUUUUGGAUGGACCCGCGGCGUAUUAGCUAGUUGGUGAGGUAACGGCUCACCAAGGCAAUGAUACGUAGCCGAACUGAGAGGUUGAUCGGCCACAUUGGGACUGAGACACGGCCCAAACUCCUACGGGAGGCAGCAGUAGGGAAUCUUCCACAAUGGACGCAAGUCUGAUGGAGCAACGCCGCGUGAGUGAAGAAGGCUUUCGGGUCGUAAAACUCUGUUGUUGGAGAAGAAUGGUCGGCAGAGUAACUGUUGUCGGCGUGACGGUAUCCAACCAGAAAGCCACGGCUAACUACGUGCCAGCAGCCGCGGUAAUACGUAGGUGGCAAGCGUUAUCCGGAUUUAUUGGGCGUAAAGCGAGCGCAGGCGGUUUUUUAAGUCUGAUGUGAAAGCCCUCGGCUUAACCGAGGAAGUGCAUCGGAAACUGGGAAACUUGAGUGCAGAAGAGGACAGUGGAACUCCAUGUGUAGCGGUGAAAUGCGUAGAUAUAUGGAAGAACACCAGUGGCGAAGGCGGCUGUCUGGUCUGUAACUGACGCUGAGGCUCGAAAGCAUGGGUAGCGAACAGGAUUAGAUACCCUGGUAGUCCAUGCCGUAAACGAUGAAUGCUAGGUGUUGGAGGGUUUCCGCCCUUCAGUGCCGCAGCUAACGCAUUAAGCAUUCCGCCUGGGGAGUACGACCGCAAGGUUGAAACUCAAAGGAAUUGACGGGGGCCCGCACAAGCGGUGGAGCAUGUGGUUUAAUUCGAAGCAACGCGAAGAACCUUACCAGGUCUUGACAUCUUUUGAUCACCUGAGAGAUCAGGUUUCCCCUUCGGGGGCAAAAUGACAGGUGGUGCAUGGUUGUCGUCAGCUCGUGUCGUGAGAUGUUGGGUUAAGUCCCGCAACGAGCGCAACCCUUAUGACUAGUUGCCAGCAUUUAGUUGGGCACUCUAGUAAGACUGCCGGUGACAAACCGGAGGAAGGUGGGGAUGACGUCAAAUCAUCAUGCCCCUUAUGACCUGGGCUACACACGUGCUACAAUGGAUGGUACAACGAGUUGCGAGACCGCGAGGUCAAGCUAAUCUCUUAAAGCCAUUCUCAGUUCGGACUGUAGGCUGCAACUCGCCUACACGAAGUCGGAAUCGCUAGUAAUCGCGGAUCAGCACGCCGCGGUGAAUACGUUCCCGGGCCUUGUACACACCGCCCGUCACACCAUGAGAGUUUGUAACACCCGAAGCCGGUGGCGUAAC
rnacentral:rRNA from 2 species